rnacentral:rRNA from 1 species
AUGGAUAACAACGGCGGCGGCGGCGUGCUGCGGCACAGCAACAGCAGCCGCCUCUCGCGCAUGUCCUUCUCCGGCGAGGACGGCCGCGGCGCGCAGGCCCGUGCCGCCCCCGGUGGCGGCGCCGGGGCCGACCGGCCGAUGGUCACCUUCGCGCGCCGCACCCACUCGGGCCGCUACGUCAGCUACUCGCGCGACGACCUCGACAGCGAGCUGGCCAACAGCGAGCUGGCGGGCGGCGGCGGGGGCUUCUCGCCGGACCGGGAGGAGUUCCUCAGCUACCACGUGCACAUCCCGGUCACGCCGGACAACCAGCCCAUGGACCCGGCCAUCUCGGCGCGCGUCGAGGAGCAGUACGUCUCCAACUCGCUCUUCACGGGGGGCUUCAACAGCGUCACCCGCGCCCACCUCAUGGACAAGGUCAUCGACUCCGAGGCCAGCCACCCGCAGAUGGCCGGCUCCAAGGGCUCCUCCUGCGCCGUCAACGGCUGCGACGGCAAGGUCAUGAGCGACGAGCGCGGCCAGGACAUCCUGCCCUGCGAGUGCGACUUCAAGAUCUGCGCCGAGUGCUUCGGGGACGCCGUCAAGAACGCCGGCGCGCUCUGCCCCGGCUGCAAGGAGCCCUACAAGGCCACCGAGAUGGAGGACCUGGUCGGCGGCGGCGCCGACGGCGGGGCCAGGCCCACGCUCUCCCUGCCCCCGCCGCCCGGCGGCGCCCCCGCGUCCAGGAUGGAGAGGCGGCUGUCGAUAGUCCGGUCGCAGAAGGCCAUGACAAGGAGCCAGACCGGCGACUGGGAUCACAACCGCUGGCUGUUUGAGACCAAGGGGACCUAUGGGUAUGGGAAUGCCAUAUGGCCAAAGGAGAAUGAUGCCGACAAUGGCGGUGCCGGCGGUGGCGGUGGAGGCGGGCAUGGUGGACCUGACGGGCAGCCGCCGGAGUUCACCAGCAAGCCUUGGAGGCCGCUCACUCGGAAGCUCAAGAUCCCUGCUGGCAUCCUCAGCCCAUACAGGCUUCUUGUUCUCAUCCGCUUGGCCGUUCUUGGUCUGUUCCUUACAUGGAGAAUUAAGCAUAAGAAUGAAGAUGCAAUGUGGCUGUGGGGCAUGUCUGUUGUUUGUGAACUCUGGUUUGGCUUUUCUUGGAUCUUGGACCAGCUGCCAAAGCUGUGCCCUGUUAACCGAGCAACGGACCUUGCUGUCCUGAAAGACAAGUUUGAGACCCCAACACCGUCAAAUCCUAACGGAAGAUCUGAUCUGCCGGGGCUUGAUAUAUAUGUGUCCACUGCUGAUCCAGAGAAAGAACCCCCAUUAACUACAGCAAACACCAUUCUGUCCAUCCUUGCUGCUGACUAUCCUGUUGAGAAGCUUUCCUGCUACGUUUCUGAUGACGGAGGCGCCCUCCUUACAUUUGAAGCCAUGGCUGAAGCCGCUAGCUUUGCUAACAUGUGGGUUCCUUUCUGUCGCAAGCACGGCAUCGAGCCUCGCAAUCCUGAGAGCUACUUCAGUCUGAAGAGGGACCCUUACAAGAACAAGGUACGCUCAGACUUUGUCAAGGACAGGAGGAGGAUCAAGAGGGAGUAUGACGAGUUCAAAGUCAGGAUCAAUGGGCUCCCUGACUCCAUACGUCGCCGCUCCGAUGCUUACCAUGCCAGAGAAGAAAUCAAGGCCAUGAAGAGGCAGCGUGAAGCUGCUCUUGACGAUGCAGUGGAGACUGUUAAAAUUGCUAAAGCUACCUGGAUGGCUGAUGGCACACAUUGGCCCGGUACCUGGAUUCAACCCUCUGCGGAGCAUACUCGGGGAGACCAUGCUGGAAUAAUUCAGGUAAUGCUUAAACCUCCUAGUGAUGAUCCCCUGUAUGGCGGUGACGGUGAAGAAGGCAGACCCCUUGAUUUCACUGACAUUGACAUCCGUCUGCCAAUGUUGGUCUAUGUGUCCCGAGAAAAGCGCCCAGGCUAUGACCACAACAAGAAGGCUGGUGCGAUGAAUGCUCUAGUCCGUUCAUCUGCUGUCAUGUCAAAUGGACCUUUCAUCCUCAACCUGGACUGUGAUCAUUAUGUCUACAACUCCCAAGCUUUCCGUGAAGGCAUGUGCUUCAUGAUGGACCGUGGUGGUGACCGUAUUGCCUAUGUCCAGUUCCCCCAACGGUUUGAGGGCAUUGAUCCAUCAGAUCGCUACGCCAACCACAACACAGUCUUCUUUGAUGUCAACAUGCGUGCAUUGGAUGGUCUCAUGGGACCAGUCUAUGUCGGCACUGGCUGUCUGUUCCGCCGUGUUGCACUCUAUGGAUUUGACCCUCCGCGCUCCACAGAACACGGUGGCUGCUGCAGCUGUUGCUUCCCGAAGAAGCGCAAGAUCAAGAGCACUGUUUCCUCAGGUACAUCUGAAGAGACACGGGCUCUGCGCAUGGCAGAUUUUGAUGAUGAGGAGAUGAACAUGUCAACAUUUCCCAAGAGGUUCGGUAACUCAAACUUCCUCAUCAACUCUAUCCCGAUUGCCGAGUUCCAAGGGCGCCCGCUUGCUGAUCACCCUGGUGUCAAGAAUGGCCGUCCUCCUGGUGCUCUCACUGUCCCCCGUGACCUUCUCGACGCCUCCACGGUCGCCGAGGCUAUCAGUGUCAUCUCAUGCUGGUAUGAAGACAAGACAGAGUGGGGUCAGCGUGUCGGAUGGAUUUAUGGUUCAGUCACAGAGGAUGUUGUCACAGGCUACCGGAUGCACAACCGUGGGUGGAAGUCAGUCUACUGUGUCACCAAGCGUGACGCCUUCCGCGGCACUGCACCCAUCAACCUGACUGACCGUCUCCACCAGGUGCUCCGGUGGGCCACCGGCUCAGUGGAGAUCUUCUUCUCCCGCAACAACGCGCUGCUCGCGAGCCGGAGGAUGAAGUGUCUUCAGAGGAUCGCGUACCUGAACGUGGGCAUCUACCCGUUCACGUCCAUCUUCCUCAUCGUGUACUGCUUCCUGCCGGCGCUGUCGCUCUUCUCGGGGCAGUUCAUCGUCAAGGAGCUGGACGUGACCUUCCUCACCUACCUGCUGGUGAUCACCCUGACGCUGUGCAUGCUGGCGGUGCUGGAGAUCAAGUGGUCGGGCAUCAACCUGGAGGAGUGGUGGAGGAACGAGCAGUUCUGGCUCAUCGGCGGCACCAGCGCCCACCUCGCCGCCGUGCUGCAGGGCCUCCUCAAGGUCAUCGCGGGCAUCGAGAUCUCCUUCACGCUGACCUCCAAGUCGGGCGCCGACGACGAGAACGACGAGUUCGCCGACCUCUACAUCGUCAAAUGGACCUCGCUCAUGAUCCCGCCCAUCGUCAUCAUGAUGGUCAACCUCAUCGCCAUCGCUGUCGGCUUCAGCCGCACCAUCUACAGCGAGAUCCCGCAGUGGAGCAAGCUCCUGGGCGGCGUCUUCUUCAGCUUCUGGGUGCUGGCUCACCUGUACCCGUUCGCCAAGGGCCUCAUGGGCCGCCGCGGCCGCACGCCGACCAUCGUCUUCGUCUGGUCCGGCCUCCUCGCCAUCACCAUCUCCCUGCUGUGGGUCGCCAUCAACCCGCCGUCGCAGAACUCGCAGAUCGGAGGCUCCUUCCAGUUCCCCUGA